CCUUUGUUUGGGGACGCCAUGACUUUGGAAAUGAUUCCUCAUGGCCUCCUAUUUGCUGCAAAUACACUUUACUUUGUGAGACAACUUCCACUGGUGUAGAGUCUUAUUUAACUCACCAAGAGGCGAGCUCACUUGGUUCGGUAACAAAUUGGCGACUCAGAGGGGAUGUACUCCCUUUGUGGUGCCUGUGUUGCCGGCUUGACUUGGCUGCCCUGUCGGGACACCCAGCGGCCGCACUGCGUGCUUUGCUCAGAGGAUCUCUUUAUGGAGGGAGACUGAUAUCCUGAAAUUAUCAAGAAGCUGAAGCUCCUCAACUGGUUCCUGGCACCGAAUCCACCAUCCACCAGGGAGACGUUGAAGGAGACCCACCUGCGAUUCCCUUAUCUCGCCCUCCUCCCUGCCAGCAGCCUCACAAGGCCAAAUACAGGCUGGUGGGAAAGUGCUGACCAGCAAGGCCACAGGCUUCCCCUCCCUACAAACAGCUACAUUCCUCACAACCUGUAAAACUCCAACUCCUAAUGCCUCAGGAGGACUGUGGGUCUUGGGGCACGAGCCCACUGCAGCCUCAUUUUGCUGGCAAAAUUAAACCAUUUUUCUUUUCCUCAA